ACCGCUUCUUCCCCUCUGCCUCCUCGCCUCAUCUGGCAAAACAUCGUCCACUUUAGCUCUGUUGCUCACAGUAACAGAACAAAUAUUCGAAACCUCAAACCCAUAAAUCGGAGAAAACCUAAGACCCUCAAAUCAACAAAGCGAAUUCCCACACUUAAUCGAACUUCGAAAUCGUCUUCAAAUUUCAGUCUCAGAAGAGAAACACAGAGAGACGGAGGAGAGAGAGCGCUUUCCGACGGCGAUCGAUCGGCGAUGAGCUGCUCUGUUGAUAAGUUGUUCUAAGUUAGAGGCAAACAUUGAUACAUUGAGGAAUAUUGAUCAAGGAGGAGGAGGAGGAGGAGGAACAAAAAGACUCCGUUUGAAGCAUCACCAGGAGCUAGAAAAUUUAACACUUGCAACACAGCCGUUAAAGACAUUUAAAGUGUUUCAAUUUGGCUAUUGGCCAAUAUGUUCGGCGUUUUAUGGCGAGAGGUGGUUGGUUUCUGCUUCUAAUUAUGUUAGCAGAAGGUAUAGGAGUGAUCACUGCGACAGUUGGUGGACCUCAACAAGAGCAUAUCCAGGAGCUUAUUCGUUGUCUGCAAUUUGGACUCUGGUGGCUGGCUCUUGGUGUAGCUUUGGCAUGUGCUCGGGAUCUAAUGCUUUUCAUUUUUUUUUUUUCAAGAAUGCUACUUGAUGAAUGGCAGAUUUAUCAUGUGAGUGUCAUUGAAGUUUUAUCUUGAAUCUGAACCGGUUUUUGUCAAUUGUUAUUUUUAAAGGUUGUGAAAGUUUGUGCUGAAAAUUUUUGUGAUCAUAAAACUGUCAUGUCAUAUUAGUAUAUUACUUUUGUCAAUGUUAUGCAAGGACUAAAGUUUGUAGAAGGUUUGUUGAUCUACCUAUGCUGCCACCAAAAUAAUGUAUGUAAAAAGUUGCUGAUUAACGAUAAUAGGUAGCUUGCAAAUUUUUUUUUAAUGUAUCCUAUUAAAUGGAUUUGAGAGCUUUGAGUUCACUUUGUAACCGAGAAGCAUGUAUAUCAUAAAAAGUAAAAGAAAUUUUGAAGUGACGAUCGAAGAAUUUAAAAGUGCUGAUUAGUGUAUGUGUGCAAA